CGAGAGCCUCAGAGAAAGAGGGAAAGAAAGAGAGAUGGGAAGCACGGCCCUGCUCUCUCACCCGCAGCUGAGCUGCAUCCUCCGCCGGAGUCCGUUAAGUCAGCGGUACAGUGCUCCGCGGAGCACCAAAGUUUCCCUUUGGAAGAUCGAAAUCUCUCCCAAGUCUCGAAAGCCACUGCAACGUUGCUUGGCUUUGGAUGAAGAUGGGAGAGAGCAGCAGCAGCAAACAGGUGGAACUGGGGCUGCCCUCGAGGAAAGGCCUGUUAAUAGUUUACAGGAAGAAACAGAAGAAAAUUUUCAGCAAGAGGAUUCACAGAACUCUCUUUAUAGUUUUCUUUACCCCAGCAAGGACCUUCUUCCGGAUGACAAAGAAAUGAGCAUAUUUGAUCAUUUAGAGGAGCUCCGCCAAAGAAUAUUUAUAUCUGUUUUAGCAGUUGGAGCUGCAAUCUUAGGCUGCUUUGCCUUUUCUAAGGAUUUGAUCGUGCUCCUUGAAGCACCUGUUAGCUCUCAAGGAGUUCGCUUUCUACAACUUUCUCCUGGGGAGUUCUUCUUUACAACUAUUAAGGUGUCUGGAUAUUGUGGGCUUCUCCUGGGUAGUCCCAUAAUUCUUUAUGAGAUCAUAGCCUUUGUUCUCCCGGGUCUAACAAGGGAUGAAAGAAGGUUCCUUGGACCUAUUGUGCUGGGGUCCUCAGUGCUCUUUUAUACUGGCAUUGCCUUCUCCUAUGCUGUUCUGGCACCAGCAGCCUUGAACUUCUUUGUCACCUAUGCUGAAGGGGCGGUGGAAUCAUUGUGGUCUAUAGAUCAGUAUUUUGAGUUUGUUUUAAUUCUCAUGUUCAGCACUGGCCUGUCCUUUCAGGUUCCAGUCAUACAACUGCUGCUAGGACAAGUCGGCUUGGUAUCAGGGGAUCAAAUGUUAUCAAUCUGGAGAUAUGUUGUGGUUGGUGCUGUUGUUGCUGCUGCGGUGCUGACACCAUCAACUGACCCCCUCACCCAAAUGUUGUUGGCAGGGCCGUUGCUGGGUCUCUACUUGGGUGGUGCAUGGAUGGUGAAGCUUAUUGGUCGCUGAUACCUUUAUUUUAGGCAUAAACUUUUCCAUCGAAAAGGGGGCAGAUUAUACUGCCAAUGUAUAUUAUAAGCACAAGAGUAAGAGCGCUUAAAUGCUUUACAGGUUGCAGAAGAAGUUGGACCAAUGCUGUGAAGAGUAAGCAAAGAAGGGAACCAAAAGAACCCGGGGAUGUUGUAUAUGUGGUGGGUUGCUUUUGUUUGGAAGAGAAAUAUGCAAAUCUCUAUGCUCAUUUUACCAGAACCAUAAGCAUAGUAAGGGUCUGAUGCGCAGAAAAUCUUAUGGCUUUUACAGAUCAUUUAUUUUUAAGGAUGGCCAAGAGUAGAACAUUUGUAUAAAUCAUGUGUUUUGAGAUGGUUUUAUGCACUGAAAGAGAUACUGUAAGAACCUUUUUCAUUAUACAUGUAUUAAGUGGUUUGUUUUUUUUU